GACAGAGGCCACGAACGUUGUUCGGAAUCACUGGGCAUAAAGCGCACGUAGGCGGCUAGGUCCGUCCGAUGUGAAAGCCCCCGGCUCAACCGGGGAAUUGCAUCGGAUACAGCCUGGCUCGAGGACGGUUGGGGUGAGUGGAACUCCUGGUGGAGCGGUGAAAUGCGUAGAUAUCAGGAGGAACACCGGUGGCGAAAGCGGCUCACUGGACCGUUUCUGACGCUGAGGUGCGAAAGCGUGGGGAGCAAACAGG
rnacentral:rRNA from 1 species